rnacentral:tRNA from 1 species
GCCGACAUAGCUUAGUUGGAAGAGCAUCUGACUUGUAAUCAGAAGGUCAAAGGUUCGAAUCCUUUUGUCGGCA